GAAGGAGCAACCCUUCUAGACCAUGGAGUAGAAGAUCACAGAGAAAUGCCUGGAGAGCAGAAGAGGAGCUGUCCAAGCCCAGCUCCUUCAAGCUCAACAAGAUGAGAAUAGGAGGCCUGAGGAGAGGGAGGGAGACUGAGGAACAGCUGGUUGGUGGAGCAGUCGGAACACAUGCAACGCUUAUUGAUUAAGUUCACUGUCUUAUAUGGGUGCAGUUCAUGGCACCUCAAAACAAUUGCAAUAGUAAUAUCAAGUCAUUGAUCACAGAUCACCAUUACAGAUAUAAUAAUAAUAAAAAGUUUGAAGAAUUAUGAGAAUUACCAAAACACGACACAAAGAUACAAAGUGAGCACAUGCUGUUGGGAAAAUGGUGCUGAUUGAUUUGCUAGAUAUAGUGUUGCCACAGACCUUUAAUUUGUAAAAAAUGCAGUAUCUUUGAAUUGC
rnacentral:lncRNA from 1 species